GACGAACGCUGGCGGCGUGCUUAACACAUGCAAGUCGAACGAAGAGCGAUGGAAGCUUGCUUCUAUCAAUCUUAGUGGCGAACGGGUGAGUAACGCGUAAUCAACCUGCCCUUCAGAGGGGGACAACAGUUGGAAACGACUGCUAAUACCGCAUACGAUCUAAUCUCGGCAUCGAGGAUAGAUGAAAGGUGGCCUCUACAUGUAAGCUAUCACUGAAGGCGGGGAUUGCGUCUGAUUAGCUAGUUGGAGGGGUAACGGCCCACCAAGGCGAUGAUCAGUAGCCGGUCUGAGAGGAUGAACGGCCACAUUGGGACUGAGACACGGCCCAGACUCCUACGGGAGGCAGCAGUGGGGAAUCUUCCGCAAUGGACGAAAGUCUGACGGAGCAACGCCGCGUGAGUGAUGACGGCCUUCGGGUUGUAAAGCUCUGUUAAUCGGGACGAAAGGCCUUCUUGCGAAUAGGGAGAAGGAUUGACGGUACCGGAAUAGAAAGCCACGGCUAACUACGUG
rnacentral:rRNA from 1 species